rnacentral:snoRNA from 1 species
AAAUGUUAUGAUGAUUGGCAAAAUGUUCAACUGCUCUGAAGAAAGUGAAUGAUGACAGCCUUUCUGAACACUU